rnacentral:rRNA from 1 species
UACGGGGGGAGCAAGCGUUGUUCGGAUUUACUGGGCGUAAAGGGCGCGUAGGCGGUCAGCACAAGUCAGUUGUGAAAUCUCCGGGCUUAACUCGGAAAGGUCAACUGAUACUGUGCGACUAGAGUGCAGAAGGGGCAACUGGAAUUCUCGGUGUAGCGGUGAAAUGCGUAGAUAUCUGGAGGAACACCGGUGGCGAAGGCGGCAUCCUGGACCGGUAUUGACGCUGAGGCGCGAAAGCUAGGGGAGCAAACGGG